AAUGGGCGCAAGCCUGACCCAGCCAUGCCGCGUGCAGGAAGAAGGCCUUAUGGGUCGUAAACUGCUUUUAUACGGGACUAAAAGUUGGGACGUGUCCUGACGUGAAUGUACUGUAGGAAUAAGCAUCGGCUAACUCCGUGCCAGCAGCCGCGGUAAUACGGAGGAUGCAGGCGUUAUCCGGAUUUAUUAGGUUUAAAGGGUGCGCAGGCGGUAUUAUAAGUCAGUGGUGAAAGUCUGCCGCUUAACGGUAGGAUUGCCAUUGAUACUGUAGUACUUGAGUGUAAUCGAGGCAGGCGGAAUGUGUCAAGUAGCGGUGAAAUGCAUAGAUAUGACACAGAACACCAAUUGCGAAGGCAGCUUGCUAGGCUACAACUGACGCUCAUGCACGAAAGCGUGGGGAUCAAA
rnacentral:rRNA from 1 species